rnacentral:rRNA from 1 species
CCCUUAGAUGUUCUGGGCCGCACGCGCGCUACACUGAUCGAUUCAACGAGUUUUGAAAUAAUUUUUAUAAUUUUUCAUAUCCUUUGUCGGAAGGCAUGGGUAAUCUUUUAAAUGUCGAUCGUGAUGGGGCUAGAUUCUUGCAAUUAUUAAUCUCCAACGAGGAAUUCCUAGUAAACGCAAGUCAUCAGCUUGCAUUGAUUACGUCCCUGCCCUUUGUACACACCGCCCGUCGCACCUACCGAUUGAAUGGUCCGGUGAAUAUCAUGGAUUGAGGAUGCAAGCAGGUUCGCCUGUCUUCAUCUUCGAGAAGUGAAGUAAAUCUUAUCAUUUAGAGGAAGGAGAAGUCGUAACA